rnacentral:lncRNA from 1 species
UGUUGCUGCCAAUUUAAGUAGUGAUUGGAAAAAUCAUUUGGAAGCUUGUAGAACGAGUCUUGUGAUCUGUUGUUGCCUGUGCUGAAAAUGAGAAAUCAGCUUAAGCUCAACCAAAGCAACCUAUACUAACUUGUUAAAAGGAAGUGACACAUUGAAGCACUAUUAGCAUUAGAGAACUCUAGGUACUCUAGGUUUGGAAAGUUUUGAAAGUCUUGGUUUUUUAGACUUAGGGGUAGCAAUGCACUCUUUAAAUUCCCAAAUGAUAAUUAGUGUCAACAUAUAGGUGCAAGAAAUGUUACAAUUUAGUUGCUUUUCAAGCUAGCUAUGUUUGGUGGUGAGACUGGA